GAUGAACGCUGGCGGCAUGCCUAAUACAUGCAAGUCGAACGAGAGGAAGGAAAGCUUGCUUUUCUGAAUCUAGUGGCGAACGGGUGAGUAACACGUAGGUAACCUGCCCAUGUGCCCGGGAUAACUUCUGGAAACGGAUGCUAAAACCGGAUAGGUAGCAGACAAGCAUUUGACUGCUAUUAAAGUGGCUAAGGCCAUGAACAUGGAUGGACCUGCGGUGCAUUAGCUAGUUGGUGAGGUAACGGCCCACCAAGGCGACGAUGCAUAGCCGGCCUGAGAGGGCGGACGGCCACAUUGGGACUGAGACACGGCCCAAACUCCUACGGGAGGCAGCAGUAGGGAAUUUUCGUCAAUGGGGGGAACCCUGAACGAGCAAUGCCGCGUGAGUGAGGAAGGUCUUCGGAUCGUAAAGCUCUGUUGUAGAGAAAAACGACAUUCAUAGGGAAUGAUGAGUGAGUGAUGGUAUCUUACCAGAAAGUCACGGCUAACCACGUGCCAGCCGCCGCCGUAA
rnacentral:rRNA from 1 species